rnacentral:piRNA from 1 species
UGCUCAUAACCCUGGUACUCUCGGGCA